UACGUAGGGGGCGAGCGUUGUCCGGAUUUAUUGGGCGUAAAGAGCUCGUAGGCGGUUUGGCAAGUCGGAUGUGAAAUCUCCAGGCUCAACCUGGAGGGGUCAUUCGAAACUGCUAUGACUAGAGUUCGGUAGAGGAGUGUGGAAUUCCUGGUGGAGCGGUGAAAUGCGCAGAGAUCAGGAGGAACACCAGUGGCGAAGGCGCCGCUCUGGGCCGUGACUGACGCUGAGGAGCGAAAGCGUGGGUAGCAAACAGG
rnacentral:rRNA from 1 species